GACCCCCCCGACCCCGCAGGGUGGAAGACGCGGCUGCGCUGUGCCCUGGCCCGGAGCCCCGAGUUCCGACUGCUGCCGGGCCGGGGCCGUCCCGACGGGCCCAGCCCCUACCGCGUGUACCGGCUGCUGCCCGCCCGCGAACCGAAGCCCCCCAAGGCCCGGCAGAGCCAGAAGGAGGCGGGGCUGAGCCCUCCAGAGCCCCUCCCACCGACCCCACCCCCUGAGACCCAAGAGGGGGCCCAGGAUGACGAAGACCCUGCCGAGAUCCCGCCCCAAGGAGCACCGCCCCUGCGCAUCGAGGUGGAGAGCACGGAGCCCCUCCCACCCGCACAUGGAGACUCAGCGCUGCUGCUGCGCCUGCGCCAAGGCCCCGCCCUGGUCUGGCAGGGGGCGUUGCCCCCCGGCGAGUACCUGCUCAGUCCUCCAGGCCGCCAGGGGGCGCCGCUGCCGCUGCCGCGCCUGGUGCUGCGGGCAGGGGUGGGGCUGGGCCGGGGGC